ensembl:lncRNA
UAAACGCCCAGUAAGACAACAUUGGAGACAGCAGGGCCCAUAUGGGUAUUGGAGAAACAAUGGACAAAGUCAGACCCAGCCCAGUGGAUGACGGCAGGAUCUCACUAGUGUUGGUCUCACAAGUGUUGAGUAGAAGAUACCCAGAGAGUGAGACAACUUCCAGGACUAGAACUGUGUGUGGAGUCCAAACCAGGAGAGUUGGGGAAAGAGGGCAGUUGGACAUCAUCUUCGUGGAUGGAAUCUUGCCAGGAAGUAUUCCCUGUGAACCCAUGAGACCUCAUCCCUGCGUUGGUCUGGCUGGCUUUCCCUGUGAGAUACAGGUUCCUCCAGAAGAGCUGGAGCUCCAUUCCAGCCCUGGACUUCUCCUUGCUUCCAGACUUCAAGAUGAGAAGCAUUUUUCCAGUCCACAAGUGUUAGAGGACGCUGCCGAUGAUGUGUGUUUUGCCCAGGCUGGACUCAGCUUCUUUGGGUAAAGGUUAAGUUUUCUUCAAAAUAAGAGGAAUCUAGAGAAACUGAGACCAUUAAGCAAAUUUUUAGAAGUAGAUGAGAAGGAAAGUUGGAAAACAAAGCACACUUGCUUACAGAGAAACUAGGAGAUCACCUUUAUUAAGAAAGCACCUUAAUUUGGGGCAGAGAGGGGUUUAUAGAAAGUUGGUUGGAGAGAGUGGAGCUUGAAGUAGAGCUAAUUUCCUGAAUUCUUGGGUUAAAGACUCCCCAUGGCAUCCCUUCCCAAAGCAGAUAGCAGUAAAAGGAGCAGGUUUGAGCCAGGGAAGCUGAUGGUCUGGCUGCACAGCGGGCAAAGGACCCUGGGGCCUGGAUAGCUCGCUGCAUGGCUCUUUGCUGAUGGGCCUGGAGGAGGGAGAAAGCAACAGCACUGGGUGCCCACGCCCGACUCCCAGGGCAUUUAAGGUAUCUGAAGCGCAGGCAGGACAAGGGGUGUGGAAGAUGCAGUCAGCUUUGGUUUCCUCCUGCCUUCACUCACACAACCCUGGCUUUGUCUCUCACCUGGGGCCCCCAACACUAGGGCAGUGAUCCUAGUAACUAUCACCUGCUCCUCUUCCUGUCCACAGAUCCUCAAUGCCUGGGCCCCGCUCCAAGGCCUUGCUCACACCUUUACAUCCACCCAGAGUGCCCUUCACUGCUCUACACUGAUUUAAACACCACCCAGUUUCCAAGGCUUGGUUUGAAUACCGCUUACUCCAGGAAGCCUUUUAUGAUAUCUUUAGUUCCCCAGUGCUCUUGGAUUCUGGACUCUUCUGAUUUUCCUCCUGCUUCACUGCCCAUAUCUCACUCACUCCUCCUCCCACCCACCCGAAUGUUGGAAUACCUACAGCAUCGUGCUGGGCUCUCUUUUUUCCUUUACAAACACUUCCUCUUUUUGGGGAAAUUUCUUUACCUUGUGGUUUUAAUUACUAACCUUAUAUCAGUAACUCCAAAAUUAUUCAAGUGUGUACACCUGGCCUUUUCCGUGAUCUUGAGACUCAGGUACCCAAUUGUCUUCUCUUCACCUCUACUUGUUCAUCUAAUAGGAAUCCCAACCCUCAGACAUCCCCAAAGGAGGCUCUGUUGCCUUCUGUAACUUCUUUUCCAAAUCUCAGUAAAUGGCACCACCACCACCAUAUACCUAGUUGCUCAAGCCAAGCAGAAGCCUAACUCUAAUCUAUCUCAUCCUUCUAUUCCCUGGAUAUCUUUCAUUGACAAAUCCUACUGACUUUGCUUAAAAACAUAGUCUACGUUCUUCUAAAUUGUUCUCUCUCAACCCAGGGCAGGCGACGAUCUUCACAAUCAGGAACAUUGCAAAAUCUUCUUUUCACUCAUCCCCUUGGCUUCACCUGUUACCUAAAUCCACUCUUCACAAAGUCAAAUGGUAUUUUUAGGACAUAAAUGAAACCAUGCACUCCUCUGCUCAGAACCCUCCAGGGUCUUUCUAUUAUGCCGAGGAUAAGAUGCAAAUUUCUUAUCCUGGCCCACGUAGUUGAGUUUCCUGGGGUCUGGCCCUUGCUGGGUUCUCUGAUGUCAUCUCUUGUUCUGCUUCCUCGUUUGCUCAUCCCACUCCACCUACUGGUUCUCAGAGACCCUGAGGUUGUCCCCACCUCGGUUCCUUGGCACUGGCUGUUUCCUUUGCCUGGGAUGUCUUGCUCUACGUCUUCCUAGGGCUGGCUGCUUCCUGUCAGGCAGGUCUCAGAUCAGAUGUCACUUCUACCAAGAGGCCUUUUCUGACCCGGUUAAAGCAGCCCCUCACUCAUCCUCUCUCCUGCACCACACUGCUUUAUUUUCUUCAUAGCACUGAUGACACCCGGGCACUGUGUUGCCUGUUUGUUGGGUUUAUUUUUUAUUGUCCAUCUCCCCACACCAGCAUGGAAACUCUAUGAGGAGAGAAAGCCCUCCUGACUCACUCCCCAACUCUAUCCCAGCCUUUAAAGUGAUGCCUGGCCCAGAGCAGGCACACGGCAAAUCUUUACUUAACGUCUAAAUAAAUAAAUGGGCCCCAAAGAGAUGCUGUUUGAUUUGGAAAGCUUUGAUUUCCUUUUUGGGAAACAAGUUCUAGCUGACUACAAUUUUUACUCAAAAGGAUAUAUAUAGUCUGUGUAUUUUACCCAAAUAACAUGCAUUGCAGUUUCUGUCCUUUCCCUAAUAUUUUGACACAACUAUUACUAUGUAUUAUUUAUUUGUUAUGGAAGAGAUGGACCAUAUCAGGUCUCCAUGUUUUUGUUGAUAAACUCUCGAGCAUUGGGACAUUUAUCUCCAAUGCGUCUUCCUCUCAGCAGCCUGGCAAAGAGGCAGUGCUGUGCCAGGAAAGAACACCCAGGCAGGACUCCAGGGUGGGGACUGCUAAUCUGGCUUUGCCACAAGUGAGUUAAAACCCAUUUGGGAAAGUCACUUUUCCCAAUCUGGUUUUCUAGGCUGCAAGAUGAGCUUAAUAAUUGUAGCCCUUCUGCUCUGAUGAGGCAAUGGGAAAGAGGAAGGAGAUAGUAAGCGUGUAUAUUUAAAGGGAAGGUAGUUGUCACUCUUUAUUUCUUCACUCAUUCAUCCAUCAAAUAUUUCAGAGCAAUGCACUGGGCUAGCUAAUGCAUGGAUGAAAGGAUGAUGGGAUGGGCACUUUUACCCCUCCCAGCCUCACGUGUCUGGUAGGCUUGAUGCACACCAAUGAUGAUGGCUGAGAGGUGCAAGGUUACAUAAGAGAGGUGCAGCACUGUGCUAUGGGGUUCAGAAGUGGGAUGGUCUCAGCUGGGAGGCUCCUGAGAUAGGAGAAGACGUUGCCUUGAGGAAGCCAGACCUAACCAAAACCAACCCCUCAGGGGUCUGCAGAGUACCCAACCCAGGGGCCAGCACAGCUCCAGCAGGCUGCGGACAGUAAGGUGAUAUCUCCCAGCCAAGGUCAUCCUCCAUGACCCUUCAGUGUUGAAGCUUGAAUUGACUUGACUGGCAGAUCCUGAGGCUGUGGAGCAAAUAUUUCUCCUUUUCGAAUAAGACUUUAACAUUCACACAGAGAUAGAAGAAAAAAAAAAAUACAGGCAUUUAUUGUCUUAUAUGUGCUGUUAAUUGAUUGAUUUUGAGCCUUUUUUGCCUUGCCUCAAUGGGGAUUCAGUCUUGUUUUCCCUGGGGGAGCCAGGCUGCAGGAGGGCCUGUAGAGUUGCACUGGGUUCUUUGGAUCUGAUCUCGCUUACAGCUACUAUUUCCAGUAGGCAAAAUCUUUUGCUCCAAUUAACACCAUCUCUGUUGCAGCCCAGUUCCCUCUGUUCUUCUUUCCCUGAGUAAAGCUUCCCAGGCGUAGGGCAGACAAGAGCCCUGAGAUCAAGGCCCUUCUGGGAGUUGCUGGAAAAGACCAGAGAGGUAGCUGAGGGUAUUUCUGCCAGCGAAUCUCCAAUUCUAUGUUUGCGCGAUGCACACGGAAAGGGAAGGCAUCCCUGAAUUCCUUCCAUUACAGAUUGGAAUGGCCUUUGACAGAGAGUUAAGGUGUCAGCAUAAAAUGAAGGACCAAG